GAUGAACGCUAGCGGGAGGCCUAAUACAUGCAAGUCGAACGGUAACAGGGGUAGCAAUAUCCGCUGACGAGUGGCGCACGGGUGAGUAACACGUACACAAUCUGCCUUAUACUGGAGCAUACCCCCAAGAAAUUGGGACUAAUUCUCCAUAACAUAUUGAAAAGGCAUCUUUUUAAUAUUAAAACUCAGGUGGUAUAAGAUGAGUGUGCGUCUGAUUAGCUAGNGGUAAGGUAACGGCUUACCAAGGCAACGAUCAGUAACUGGUCUGAGAGGAUGAUCAGUCACACGGACACUGAGACACGGGUCCGACUCCUACGGGAGGCAGCAGUAGGGAAUAUUGGACAAUGGGCGCAAGCCUGAUCCAGCCAUCCCGCGUGAAGGAUUAAGGCCCUCUGGGUUGUAAACUUCUUUUCUCUGGGAAUAAAACCGGUAUUCAUACUGCUUGAAGUACCAGAGGAAUAAGCACCGGC
rnacentral:rRNA from 1 species